CAGCUGGAAACGUCAGCCUAGGAGGGGCAGGACACCUGUGCUACAUGCAGCAGGAAGAUGGUGAAGGGUUUAGAGAACAAGUCUUGUGAAGAGCAGUUUGAGGUAACUGGGGUUGCUCAGCCUGGAGAAAAGGAGGCUGGGGGGAGACCUCACUGCUCUCUACAGCUACCUGAAAGAAGGUUGGAGUGAGGAAUCAGUGACGUGCAAGCCAGCUCCUGUCUGCAGCGAAGCCACACCGUGGUGUUAGCAGUUAACAAGAAGCCUGGCACCAGGAAGUUGGAGUGCAUGGGAAGCUGCUAGAAAUGCACUCCUAUACCCAUGUCAGGAGCUGCAGCACUAUUCCUGGGGAUAUUAACAGAGAGGCAGCACAGAUGGAAAGCUGGGCAGGGCCUACAGAGACUCCAGACAAGGGAGUCACACUUGCAUGCACAGAAUUGAUUGAUUUGGUUGGAAAAGACCUGAGAGGUGAUUGAAUCAACUCUGCCAACACUGGUGCAAAACCGUGCCCCUGGGCACCACAUUCCCACCUACAGGGAUGGGCAUUCCACCACCUCCCUGGGCAGCUUCUUCCAGUCUUUGAGGAUGCUGCAAGUCAAUAUUUCCAAAUGUCUUUUGGCUCUGAGCUGGAAUGAAGGAGAAAUGUUUUGCCCCAGUGGGAGAGCUCAUGGGUGAGCAAUCUCUUGUAAGGGGUCUCACUAUGCUCUUGAGAAACACAACCCCUCCGGAAGGUGCAAAUGGUAUUGAACUGGAAGAGUCUGACCGCAUGAGGACAGAAGGUAGCAUAGCUGGGAGGUCGUAGCUGGAUGGUAAAUGUAGGAGGAUGACAUUUGUGGCAGUCUGGGGCAGCCCAGAGGCUCAUUUUGCACUAUGAGCAACUCUUGCUCUGUCAUCCAGUGGUUGGAAAUGAAAUAAAAGAGCCCUAGCAAAGGAUCUGGAGGAAACUGCUGUGACACAGGGCUGAGAGACACCAGUGGCCUUUGGAAUCACACUUGUCCUCCUUGAUUUUCAAGGAAGAUUUAGUUCUGUUUUGAUUUGAGGGGGGAACUGACUCUGGUUGAUAGUGUUUAGCCAAACCAAAACCCUGGGCAGGUGCUCCCCAGAAUGUGUGCAAAACACAAGACACUAAUAUUUAUAUUGCUUCACCUCAGCGUUUGGCACCAGAAAGUUCUGUGGUCAGUCUAAUUGCAUCUCACCCCUGGUGAGGUUUGAAGCUGCUAAUUUAGAGCAGCAGCAUGGACCAGUUCCCUCAGUGUCUUUUCCUAGGAAGACCUCAGCAUCUUUGCUGAGCUCUGUAGGGACCAAGCUCAUGCUGCCCCAGGAAUGAGUUGUUAUAACACUCUGGUUGCCUUCAGAUGUUUCUGUUACAGAUUAUUCUUCAAACCUAAAGCCUAAUCAUGGGUCAUUGUCCCUCAAAUGUGCACCUGAUUGUGUUGGAAGGAGCCUGUUGUCACCUGCCCUUUCCCUUUCACGAAAUCACAGACUGGUUUGGGUUGGAAGGGACCUUUACAAGUCACCUAACUCAGCUGCCCUGCAGCGAGCAGGCACAUUUUCAGUUAGACCAGGUUGCUCAGAGCCCCAAACAACCAGACCUGGAAUGGUAUCUGCCACCUCUGGGCAACCUGGGCCAGUGCCUCACCAUCCUCAGGGUAAAAUUCCUUCCUUCUGUCUGUUGUGUGCCCACAACCUAGCUGGGCACUGCAUCCACCCCCAGGUGUCCGGGAUGCUGCUGUGCCUCUCAUGAGCUGUGCGAGAGGAGGUGACAGUGAUGUGACAGCAGCGAGGAUGGUGAGUGGCUCAGCAUGCCAGGGCAUGUCCUCCCAGUGCAGCAAGGUGCUGGGGGGCAGGAUGGCUCCCCUGGCUCCCCUCAGCAUCAGCCCUGAUUACUGACCCGCGCCGGGGGCGCUGGGUCCUCCCUUAA